CGACCAGCAUCGACAUACUGAACUAGGAGGGGGCAGGGGCUGUACUUGUCCCCAAGCCCUUCAUGGAGCACCUUCAUGAUCGAAAGACAGAUGUCAAGCCCGAUAAAAUCCGCAAGCUGGAGAGGACCCAUCGGAUGAUUCGUGCCAAGUUUCAUCCCUGCAUCAAUGUCCUCCUUCGUUGCCACGCCAGUGUAUAAAGUGAAAAAAGCUUCGUUGAUCAUCGGCAUCAGGAUGCGAUUCACAAUGAAACCAGGGUAGUCGUUGGAGCAAAUCACAGUCUUGCCAAG
rnacentral:misc_RNA from 1 species